UGAGUAACACGUAAACAACCUGCCUUCAGGAUGGGGACAACAGACGGAAACGACUGCUAAUACCGAAUACGCUUGGGAGACCGCAUGAUCUUCCAAGGAAAGGGUGGCCUCUACCUGUAAGCUAUCGCCUGAAGAGGGGUUUGCGUCUGAUUAGGCAGUUGGUGAGGUAACGGCCCACCAAACCUACGAUCAGUAGCCGGUCUGAGAGGAUGAACGGCCACACUGGAACUGAGACACGGUCCAGACUCCUACGGGAGGCAGCAGUGGGGAAUCUUCCGCAAUGGGCGAAAGCCUGACGGAGCAACGCCGCGUGAGUGAUGACGGCCUUCGGGUUGUAAAGCUCUGUGAUCGGGGACGAACGG
rnacentral:rRNA from 1 species